AGUGAACGCUGGCGGUAGGCCUAACACAUGCAAGUCGAACGGCAGCACAGUAAGAGCUUGCUCUUACGGGUGGCGAGUGGCGGACGGGUGAGGAAUACAUCGGAAUCUACUUUUUCGUGGGGGAUAACGUAGGGAAACUUACGCUAAUACCGCAUACGACCUACGGGUGAAAGCAGGGGAUCUUCGGACCUUGCGCGAUUGAAUGAGCCGAUGUCGGAUUAGCUAGUUGGUGGGGUAAAGGCCCACCAAGGCGACGAUCCGUAGCUGGUCUGAGAGGAUGAUCAGCCACACUGGAACUGAGACACGGUCCAGACUCCUACGGGAGGCAGCAGUGGGGAAUAUUGGACAAUGGGCGCAAGCCUGAUCCAGCCAUACCGCGUGAGUGAAGAAGGCCUUCGGGUUGUAAAGCCCUUUUGUUGGGAAAGAAAAGCAGCAGAUUAAUACCCCGCUGUUCUGACGGUACCCAAAGAAUAAGCACCGGCUAACUUCGUG
rnacentral:rRNA from 1 species